GGCAGAGUAGAUUUUUGCGCGUUAAGUGCCAAGAGGACGGGAAGUUGCCUUUUGGACGAAAAACACCCAGUGUUUGCGGUGCAGAUUUCGCAUUCCGCUGCC
rnacentral:ncRNA from 2 species